GGCGUGCGCGGUUCCGCAGGUGGCAGCGAUGGCCCAGUCCUGAAAGCCCUGCCAUGGCCGGCGCCCCCGGGCCGCUCCGCCUGGCGCUGCUGCUGCUCGGGGCGGUGGGCAGGGCCGGCCCCCGCCCCCAGGGUGCCACCGUGUCCCUCUCGGAGACAGUGGAGAAAUGGCGAGAAUACCAACGCCAGUGCCAGCGCUUCCUGACCGAGGCUCCGCCCCCAGCCACAGGCCUGUUCUGCAACCGGACCUUUGAUGACUAUGCCUGCUGGCCAGAUGGGCCGCCGGGCUCCUUCGUGAACGUCAGCUGCCCCUGGUAUCUGCCCUGGGCCAGCAGCGUGCUGCAGGGUCACGUGUACCGGUUCUGCACCACCGAUGGCCUGUGGCUGCACAAGGACAACUCGAGCCUGCCCUGGAGGGACCUGUCCGAGUGCGAGGAGUCCAAGCGAGGGGACCAAAACUCCCCGGAGCAGCAGCUCCUGUCCCUUUACGUCAUCUACACGGUGGGCUACGCACUCUCCUUCUCCGCACUGGUCAUCGCCUCGGCCAUCCUCCUGGGCUUCAGACACCUGCACUGUACCCGAAACUACAUCCACCUGAACCUGUUUGCAUCCUUCAUCCUCCGAGCACUGUCCGUCUUCAUCAAGGAUGCAGCCCUCAAGUGGAUGUACAGCACGGCCGCCCAGCAGCACCAGUGGGAUGGGCUCCUUUCCUACCAGGACUCUCUGGGCUGCCGCCUGGCGUUCCUGCUCAUGCAGUACUGCGUGGCGGCCAACUACUACUGGCUCCUGGUGGAGGGCGUGUACCUGUACACACUGCUGGCCUUCGCUGUCUUCUCCGAGCAGCGCAUCUUCAGGCUCUACCUGAGCAUAGGCUGGGGUGUUCCCCUGCUGUUUGUUAUCCCCUGGGGCAUUGUCAAGUACCUCUAUGAGGAUGAGGGCUGCUGGACCAGGAACUCCAACAUGAACUACUGGCUCAUCAUCCGGCUGCCCAUCCUCUUUGCCAUCGGGGUGAACUUCCUCAUCUUUGUCCGGGUUAUCUGCAUUGUGGUGUCCAAACUGAAGACCAAUCUCAUGUGCAAGACAGACACCAAGUGCAGGCUCGCCAAGUCCACGUUGACGCUCAUCCCCCUGCUGGGGACCCACGAGGUCAUCUUCGCCUUCGUGAUGGACGAGCACGCCCGCGGCAUGCUGCGUUUCAUCAAGCUGUUCACAGAGCUCUCCUUCACCUCCUUCCAGGGGCUGAUGGUGGCCAUCUUGUACUGCUUUGUCAACAAUGAGGUCCAGAUGGAGUUUCGGAAGACCUGGGAGCGCUGGCGGCUCGAGCACCUGCACAUCCAGAGGGAGAGCAGCAUGAAACCCUUCAAGUGUCCCACCAGCAGCCUGAGCUGUGAGGGCACAGUGGGCAGCAGUGUGUACGCAGCCUCCUGCCAGGCCUCCUGCAGCUGAGACUCCAGCACCUGCCCUCCCUGUGGUCUCGCCGCCGGCUGGGCAGCCAUCCCAGUGCUCCCUGAAGUUGGAGACGACUAGCAAACUGGGCAACUUUAGCCUAGCAAAGAUGGCACAGCCGCCACGGAGGGCAAACACAGUCAGUUCACAUCCAAGUCCCAAAAGGCUUGGUCCCCUCAUCGGUGUGGGCCAUGUUUCAGCAGCUGCUGUCCCCAUUCCCUCCUGUUUCUUCCAGAAGCAAAGAACACUGUGUGUGUGUGUGUGUGUGUGUGUGUGUGUGUGUGUGUGUUGUGUUGUGUUGUGCAUAGCAGCAUAAAGUUAGGAGAUGAUGAAUCCAGAAUCAUCCCACCCACUGUGAAGGUCAGGGGACCGCACAGCCUGGGGCAAGGAUGGGUGGGAGCCUGCACGAUAGAUGCUUCCUCUCCAUGCACAGACAGGGCUCCCAUUAUUGCUAAUGCCUGCGACGUGCUCAGGGAAGGCAAGAUACACUCCAAAGGGUUAUUUUCCCUCCACUGAAUUGAUUCUAAUCUACAGUGCUGACCCUGCUUUUGGUUCCUAAGAGCCAAACUCUGUAAAAAAUAUGUCAGCUUACUCUGCUAAGACAGCUAUGUGAAUGACAUGCUAAAACUCAACAGAAACCAAAUUAGUAUCAACUCUUUUUUUUCCUUUUCACAGCUGCAGCGAAUUUUCUUGAGGGGAAAAAAAUGACCCAAUGUGAGAAACUCCUGCAAACAACAUCACCUUGUCCCUACGGUGUCACCUGCUGGCUCAAACCAGCUCUCCUGCCUCAUGCCGAGGGCCAUAUCAAGGAAGCGUUGUUAAGCAGUAUAAUUUCAAACACUUAAAGCCACAGUGUGUCCACAGUAUCUAUAAUUAUUUCUGCUCUGGAUACAGAUUGGCAGGAAGCAGAUAAGCAUAAUCAUUUUCCAAUUAACUCCCCAAAGUCUUUUGGACUUGGCCUAUACCUGAAUCUAUCAGAGGAGAGAGUUUUCUCUCUUCCCUUCUCCCACCCCCAUUCCAACCAGUUUUUCGGGAUCUCAUCCAGCAGGGGUGCAUUUGUCCCCUGAGGCAUCCGACCUCCUCCCCAGCCCCACAUUUACCCCCUCUCACCUCCCAUCCCUGAGGUGAGCUUCCCACACUUCUCCCCCAGCUGCCUCAGUAAGAGGUGACCCUGCCAGGGAAUGCCGUGCUCUUGGCUGUGACCAAUUUCAGGGUGCAGCUGAGAGUGAGGCGUUGCCAGGGCUGAAGUGAUGCCCCACAUCCCACACUCUGGCACAGCGAGGAGCAUUGCAGCCAGCAGCGUGGAUCCUAACUUACAUUGGGGUUAUGCAACCUUGCGGAUGGGGCCUGUCAAAACUAUCAGUCAUCAGUCAACCCCGACAAUCUAGCGUGACUAAUUAUCUCUGUGUCAGAGCAAUCCAGGAGAAGAAAAACAUAUAUAAAUGAGAGUGUUUGGAUUUGGUGGGAAAAAAAGAGCUCCCAGCAAAGUAUGGAACAUACAAAAAGUUAGGGUCUAGGCUUUCCUGCAAGGGAAACCAGUGGGGGUGGUCAGGAAGGGGCAAGAUUCGCAGCAGACAGACAGACAGCACUGGAUCUUGCCAAAUGGUUCACGCUUUACUUCCAAAUCUGCAGUUCCUCUAAGCUCCUCCCACUAAAAAUAAUCACACCCUCAGAGCAGAUAAACCUGAACAUUAGUUUUGGAGGGGGCUUGAUGCAGAGCUUAGGUGCACCAAGAGAGACGCGAGCCAAGCUCUCAGGAGGGACAAAGCUGACUUUUAUCUUCAGUGCUCUCGGGGGAUGUGUGCGCUUCAUGAAUGUUUAAACAAGAUAGUCUUCAUGUGAUUUCUUAAUGCAUAAAUUCAUGUAAAAUAUGACCUGCGUCUAUAGGUAGCAAAUGUGUAUGGUGUAUAAUUCCUUGUACAGAUGUGAAUGGAUUCGGGCUCUUUCCUAAUUUGCCUUGUAAGUCAAAUAAAAGCCUGUCGUU